GCUUUGGGGAGCUGUACGUAAGCGUUGAUCCAGAGAUUUCCGAAUGGGGGAACCCACUAUCUUUAGUCGGAUAGUAUCCUUACGUGAAUACAUAGCGUGAGGAAGGCAGACCCAGGGAACUGAAACAUCUAAGUACCUGGAGGAAGAGAAAGAAAAAUCGAUUUCCUGAGUAGCGGCGAGCGAAACGGAAAGAGCCCAAACCAAGAAGCUUGCUUCUUGGGGUUGUAGGACACUCUAUACGGAGUUACAAAAGAAAGUUAUAAAUGAAGCGGUCUGGAAAGGCCCGCCAAAGACGG
rnacentral:rRNA from 1 species